UACGAAGGGGGCUAGCGUUGCUCGGAAUCACUGGGCGUAAAGCGCACGUAGGCGGAUUGUUAAGUCGGGGGUGAAAUCCUGGAGCUCAACUCCAGAACUGCCUUCGAUACCGGCGAUCUUGAGUCCGGGAGAGGUGAGUGGAACUCCGAGUGUAGAGGUGAAAUUCGUAGAUAUUCGGAAGAACACCAGUGGCGAAGGCGGCUCACUGGCCCGGUACUGACGCUGAGGUGCGAAAGCGUGGGGAGCAAACAGG
rnacentral:rRNA from 1 species